CCUACGGGGGGCAGCAGUGGGGAAUCUUCCGCAAUGGGCGAAAGCCUGACGGAGCAACGCCGCGUGAUGGAAUGAAGGCCUUCGGGUUGUAAAGAUCUGUUGACAGGGACGAAUAAGCAAUGCGAAUAGUCUUGUGUAUGACGGUACCUGUUUAGAAAGCUCCGGCUAACUACGUGCCAGCAGCCGCGGUAAUGCGUAGGGAGCAAGCGUUGUUCGGAAUUACUGGGCGUAAAGGGCGCGGCGGGGGGCACUUAAGUCAGGUGUGAAAACUUCGGGCUCCACCUGGGGACUGCACUUGAAACUGGGUUUCUUGAGGGCAGGAGAGGAAAGUGGAAUUCCUAGUGUAGCGGUGAAAUGCGUAGAUAUUAGGAGGAACACCAGUGGCGAAGGCGACUUUCUGGAGUGUACCUGACGCUGAGGCGCGAAAGCGUGGGUAGCGAACGGGAUUAGAUACCCUGGUAGUC
rnacentral:rRNA from 1 species